UACAGAGGUCUCAAGCGUUGUUCGGAUUCAUUGGGCGUAAAGGGUGCGUAGGCGGCGCGGUAAGUCGGGUGUGAAAUCUCGGAGCUUAACUCCGAAACUGCAUUCGAUACUGCCGUGCUUGAGGACUGGAGAGGAGACUGGAAUUCAUGGUGUAGCAGUGAAAUGCGUAGAGAUCAUGAGGAAGACCAGUGGCGAAGGCGGGUCUCUGGACAGUUCCUGACACUGAGACACGAAGGCCAGGGGAGCAAACGGG
rnacentral:rRNA from 1 species